rnacentral:rRNA from 1 species
AACGAACGCUGGCGGCAUGCCUAACACAUGCAAGUCGAACGAGACCUUCGGGUCUAGUGGCGCACGGGUUCGUAACGCGUGGGAACCUGCCCUUAGGUUCGGAAUAACUCCCCGAAAGGGGUGCUAAUACCGGAUAAUGUCUUCGGACCAAAGAUUUAUCGCCUUUGGAUGGGCCCGCGUUGGAUUAGCUAGUUGGUAGGGUAAAAGCCUACCAAGGCGACGAUCCAUAGCUGGUCUGAGAGGAUGAUCAGCCACACUGGGACUGAGACACGGCCCAGACUCCUACGGGAGGCAGCAGUGGGGAAUAUUGGACAAUGGGCGAAAGCCUGAUCCAGCAAUGCCGCGUGAGUGAUGAAGGCCGUAGGGUUGUAAAGCUCUUUUACCCGGGAUGAUAAUGACAGUACCGGGAGAAUAAGCUCCGGCUAACUCCGUG